UACGGAGGGUGCGAGCGUUGUCCGGAAUCAUUGGGCGUAAAGGGCGCGUAGGUGGCCCGGUCAGUUCGUGGUGAAAGCGCGGGGCUCAACCCUGCGUCGGCCAUGAAUACUGCCGCGGCUGGAGCACUGUAGAGGCAGGCGGAAUUCCAGGUGUAGCGGUGAAAUGCGUAGAUAUCUGGAGGAAUACCGGUGGCGAAGGCGGCAUCCUGGACCGACAUUGACGCUGAGGAGCGAAAGCUAGGGGAGCAAACAGG
rnacentral:rRNA from 1 species